rnacentral:rRNA from 1 species
ACGGAGGGUGCAAGCGUUAUCCGGAAUCACUGGGUUUAAAGGGUGCGUAGGCGGGCCAGUAAGUCAGAGGUGAAAGCCCACCGCUUAACGGUGGAAUUGCCUUUGAUACUGUUGGUCUUGAAUUAGGUUGAGGUUAGCGGAAUGUGGCAUGUAGCGGUGAAAUGCUUAGAUAUGCCAUAGAACACCGAUUGCGAAGGCAGCUAACUGGCCCUUGAUUGACGCUGAGGCACGAAAGCGUGGGGAGCGAACAGG